rnacentral:lncRNA from 1 species
AAAUUUUUGAAUUACAAAAAAAUUAUUGAUUAUGAUCCGCCUGCUAACAAUUGUUGCUUGUUUGAACGGCAAAAAAAAAAAAUUUACUUUCUUUGAUGUUAUGAUGCCUUUUUGAAUAGUCUGAAAUACAUAUGAUAGAACGGUUUUAACUCAUAAUUUUUCGCUUAUGAGACCUGUCUACUUGUCUAAUCCAUUGGACCA